AUACGGAGGGAGCAAGCGUUAUUCGGAAUCACUGGGCGUAAAGGACGCGUAGGCGGGUUUGUAAGUCAGGUGUGAAAUCCUACAGCUCAACUGUAGAACUGCACUUGAAACUACAGACCUAGAGUAUGGAAGGGGCAGAUGGAAUUAGUGGUGUAGGGGUAAAAUCCGUGGAUAUCACUAGGAAUACCGAAAGCGAAGGCGAUCUGCUGGGACAUUACUGACGCUGAGGCGUGAAAGCGUGGGGAGCAAACAGGAUUAGAAACCCCAGUAGUCC
rnacentral:rRNA from 1 species